rnacentral:rRNA from 1 species
UACGUAGGGGGCGAGCGUUGUCCGGAAUUACUGGGCGUAAAGGGCGCGCAGGCGGCUUAUUAAGUCGGGUGUGAAAUGCCGCGGCUCAACCGCGGAACGGCAUCCGAAACUGGUAGGCUUGAGGGCAGAAGAGGGAAGCGGAAUUCCCGGUGUAGCGGUGGAAUGCGUAGAUAUCGGGAGGAACACCAGUGGCGAAGGCGGCUUCCUGGUCUGUCCCUGACGCUGAGGCGCGAAAGCUAGGGGAGCAAACGGG